UACGUAGGGCGCAAGCGUUGUCCGGAAUCAUUGGGCGUAAAGAGCUCGUAGGUGGUCUGUUACGUCUGCUGUGAAAUCCUAGGGCUUAACCCUGGGCCUGCAGUGGAUACGGGCAGACUAGAGGUAGGUAGGGGAGAAUGGAAUUCCCGGUGUAGCGGUGAAAUGCGCAGAUAUCGGGAGGAACACCGGUGGCGAAGGCGGGUCUCUGGGCAGUAACUGACGCUGAGAAGCGAAAGCGUGGGGAGCGAACAGG
rnacentral:rRNA from 1 species